GGUUGUGGCUCAGUGGUAAAGUGCUUGCCUAGCAUGUGUGAGGCAUGAGUUCGAUUCUCAGGACCA
rnacentral:tRNA from 1 species